AGUGAACGCUGGCGGUAGGCCUAACACAUGCAAGUCGAACGGCAGCACAGUAAGAGCUUGCUCUUACGGGUGGCGAGUGGCGGACGGGUGAGGAAUACAUCGGAAUCUACUUUUUCGUGGGGGAUAACGUAGGGAAACUUACGCUAAUACCGCAUACGACCUACGGGUGAAAGCAGGGGAUCUUCGGACCUUGCGCGAUUGAAUGAGCCGAUGUCGGAUUAGCUAGUUGGCGGGGUAAAGGCCCACCAAGGCGACGAUCCGUAGCUGGUCUGAGAGGAUGGUCGGCCACACUGGAACUGAGACACGGUCCAUACUCCUACGGGAGGCAGCAGUGGGGAAUAUUGGACAAUGGGCGCAAGCCUGAUCCAGCCAUACCGCGUGGGUGAAGAAGGCCUUCGGGUUGUAAAGCCCUUUUGUUGGGAAAGAAAAGCAGCAGGUUAAUACCCCGCUGUUCUGACGGUACCCAAAGAAUAAGCACCGGCUAACUUCGUG
rnacentral:rRNA from 1 species